UGGGGAAUAUUGCACAAUGGGCGCAAGCCUGAUGCAGCCAUGCCGCGUGUAUGAAGAAGGCCUUCGGGUUGUAAAGUACUUUCAGCGGGGAGGAAGGCGAUAAGGUUAAUAACCUUGUCGAUUGACGUUACCCGCAGAAGAAGCACCGGCUAACUCCGUGCCAGCAGCCGCGGUAAUACGGAGGGUGCAAGCGUUAAUCGGAAUUACUGGGCGUAAAGCGACCGCAGGCGGUCUGUCAAGUCGGAUGUGAAAUCCCCGGGCUCAACCUGGGAACUGCAUUCGAAACUGGCAGGCUAGAGUCUUGUAGAGGGGGGUAGAAUUCCAGGUGUAGCGGUGAAAUGCGUAGAGAUCUGGAGGAAUACCGGUGGCGAAGGCGGCCCCCUGGACAAAGACUGACGCUCAGGUGCGAAAGCGUGGGGAGCAAACA
rnacentral:rRNA from 1 species